rnacentral:rRNA from 1 species
AUUGAACGCUGGCGGCAGGCCUAACACAUGCAAGUCGAGCGGAUGAAGGGAGCUUGCUCCUGGAUUCAGCGGCGGACGGGUGAGUAAUGCCUAGGAAUCUGCCUGGUAGUGGGGGAUAACGUCCGGAAACGGGCGCUAAUACCGCAUACGUCCUGAGGGAGAAAGUGGGGGAUCUUCGGACCCCACGCUAUCAGAUGAGCCUAGGUCGGAUUAGCUAGUUGGUGGGGUAAAGGCCUACCAAGGCGACGAUCCGUAACUGGUCCGAGAGGAUGAUCAGUCACACUGGAACUGAGACACGGUCCAGACUCCUACGGGAGGCAGCAGUGGGGAAUAUUGGACAAAGGGCGAAAGCCUGAUCCAGCCAUGCCGCGUGUGUGAAGAAGGUCUUCGGAUUGUAAAGCACUUUAAGUUGGGAGGAAGGGCAGUAAGUUAAUACCUUGCUGUUUUGACGUUACCAACAGAAUAAGCACCGGCUAACUUCGUG